rnacentral:lncRNA from 1 species
AUUUUAAAUGAAAAAUAUCAUUAAUUUCAUUUAGGGCAUCUUUUUAUUGGGAAUUGUUACUUGGGCUUUCAAGGUUACUAGCAAGUACAUGACAUGACCUUACAAGAUUGGACUCAAUACAUAUGAUGAUCAAAAAAGGCAAAGGUUUAUUUAUUGCUUAGUCAAAAAUUAUAUGGUCUCUCAUCCAACUGUAAUUUGACUUGUGGUGCUA